UACAACUUUCAAACCUCAAUGUGAACGUUACCAAACUGUUGCCUCGGCGGGGUCACGCCCCGGGUGCGUCGCAGCCCCGGAACCAGGCGCCCGCCGGAGGAACCAACCAAACUCUUUCUGUAGUCCCCUCGCGGACGUAUUUCUUUACAGCUCUGAGCAAAAAUUCAAAAUGAAUCAAAACUUUCAACAACGGAUCUCUUGGUUCUGGCAUCGAUGAAGAACGCAGCGAAAUGCGAUAAGUAAUGUGAAUUGCAGAAUUCAGUGAAUCAUCGAAUCUUUGAACGCACAUUGCGCCCGCCAGUAUUCUGGCGGGCAUGCCUGUCCGAGCGUCAUUUCAACCCUCGAACCCCUCCGGGGGAUCGGCGUUGGGGAUCGGGACCCCUCACACGGGUGCCGGCCCCUAAAUACAGUGGCGGUCUCGCCGCAGCCUCUCCUGCGCAGUAGUUUGCACAACUCGCACCGGGAGCGCGGCGCGUCCACGUCCGUAAAACACCCAACUUUCUGAAAUGUUGACCUCGGAUCAGGUAGGAAUACCCGCUGAACUUAAGCAUAUCUAAAGGGGGGAAGGAA
rnacentral:rRNA from 1 species